UACGGAGGGUGCAAGCGUUGUCCGGAUUCAUUGGGUUUAAAGGGUGCGCAGGCGGGGACAUUAAGUCAGGGGGUGAAAGACGGUGCUCAACAAUCGCAGUGCCUUUGAUACUGGUGUUCUUGGGUGACGGUGAGGUAGGCGGAAUGGGUGGUGUAGCGGUGAAAUGCAUAGAUACCACCCAGAACUCCGAUUGCGAAGGCAGCCUACUGGUCGUUAACCGACGCUCAGGCACGAAAGCGUGGGGAUCAAACAGG
rnacentral:rRNA from 1 species